rnacentral:rRNA from 1 species
GCACAAGCGGUGGAGCAUGUGGUUCAAUUCGAAGCAACGCGAAGAACCUUACCAGCCCUUGACAUCCUGGUCGCGGGAACGAGAGAUCGAUCCCUUCAGUUCGGCUGGACCAGAGACAGGUGCUGCAUGGCUGUCGUCAGCUCGUGUCGUGAGAUGUUGGGUUAAGUCCCGCAACGAGCGCAACCCUCGCCCUUAGUUGCCAUCAUUCAGUUGGGCACUCUAAGGGGACUGCCGGUGAUAAGCCGCGAGGAAGGUGGGGAUGACGUCAAGUCCUCAUGGCCCUUACGGGCUGGGCUACACACGUGCUACAAUGGCGGUGACAAUGGGACGCAAUGGAGCAAUCCUGCGCAAAUCUCAAAAAGCCGUCUCAGUUCGGAUUGGGCUCUGCAACUCGAGCCCAUGAAGUUGGAAUCGCUAGUAAUCGCAGAUCAGCACGCUGCGGUGAAUACGUUCCCGGGC